rnacentral:rRNA from 1 species
CAGUCGCCGCGGUAAUACGAAGGGGGCUAGCGUUGUUCGGAUUUACUGGGCGUAAAGGGCGCGUAGGCGGGCGAUUAAGUCAGAGGUGAAAUCCCAAGGCUCAACCUUGGAACUGCCUUUGAUACUGGUUGUCUUGAGUCCGGGAGAGGUGAGUGGAACUGCGAGUGUAGAGGUGAAAUUCGUAGAUAUUCGCAAGAACACCAGUGGCGAAGGCGGCUCACUGGCCCGGAACUGACGCUGAGGCGCGAAAGCGUGGGGAGCAAACAGGAUUAGAUACCCCCGUAGUCCCUGUCUCUUAUAC